rnacentral:ncRNA from 1 species
UGAUAGCGUUGAAACGCGAGGUUGCCGGAUGUCAGAGAUGGCAUACGGGUUUUCCGUGGAGCGAAUGUCAAGUUACCAAAACUGACGACAA